rnacentral:lncRNA from 1 species
CUUCACCUGAGUGGAUUCGAUCUUGGAGCACAUGGCAUGGGAAAGGAGUUCUGCCAUGUGUCACGGGUUAGAAUGUGUUAUGUUGGAGUCCCCCGAGGCUGCUUUUCUGAACUCGAACCACUGCUGCAGCCCUUACAGCUGAGCCUGGCCCAUACAGACUGCCAGAUCCUGACAGUGACCCAAAGUCUCCAAAGAAGAUUACGAGGCACCUCAGUUCCUGCACCUGGACCAGUGAGCGAGAUGCUCAGAUGUGAAACCUGCCGCCUGCCAGAACCUGGCCGAGAAUGUGGACAAAGCUGCUGGACACUGGAAAAUUGAUUGCACCCCUUUGCCUAGACAAAACAAGGUCAGUCUUUUCCAUGUCCCUCUUCCACAGAGAGGAAAAAAAACUCUCACAGUAUAGGCCUGGCGAAGAUUGCUGUUCUUUGAGACACCUGCCUCCAGCGGUAAUGGAGAAACUUGGUUUGGCUAACUGUAUAUGGACUUGUUUCUGACUGGCGUCUGUCACUUUUUAAUAGAUUCAGAUAAAAUAUACCCUUCUCAGAUCUCUGAAAUAUUACUGGUUGUCAGCUUGACAGCAUCAGGCAGUCAGAUCCACUAUAGACUAGUAAGUGUGUUAGCUGAUAAAAUAGUGACUAUCUACUGUUCAGGCACAAGUUCAAAGUUUUUAAGUUUAUUUUGGUUGUCAUCUAAGUACAAACUUAAAGGGCUUUUCAUCAGGCCAAAGGCACCUCUGUCCAAUCCAUACCUGGCUCUCUGGACAGAAGAAAAAUGUACAUGCUUAUAGCCCAAAUCUGCAGUUUUUGCUAGGACUCAAAGUUAUAAAUAUGUUCUUGCUGUUUAAACAGAUAUCUGCUUUUUCUGCACUGCGGGCUUCAGUAAAUAAGUUUUAACCUCUGUUCCUAGUUUAAACAUGUCUUAAACAGGUUUCUGCUUCUGGCAGACAUCUGAGUAUCAGUACUCACUACAGGCUGUUCUAAGUAGACUGCGAGCCCUGGACUUGCUGUGGAUGUGAACCAGUUCAGCUGAUAUGGACACCCCCUGUCUCUGCAACAGUGUCUGCUAACCAGAAGCCCCUAAUAAAUUCCCCAUUGCCUAAAUUCCUUUUUGCUUUUGACUAGCAUUUCAACCUUCUGGGGUCCCUAACUUCGUCCCAAAGUCAGCAGGAAGCAGUUUGGAAAAGAAUUUCGCCGUCCAUUUUCCCUGGUUAAAAUGCUAAGUCAAAAGGAACUCCC